CGCAGAUUCACGGAUUAAAUUCCCUCGCACAAAUCGAUGAUGAUGAGCACGGAUCGGUGGUACGGAGAGUUGAUACACCGAUGAAUAAAAGUCUAAUCAAAAAAGCGGAACUGGAUCGCACGCGGUGAAGAGGCGAGCAGCCGCAGAGCCAGUCGACGCUGCUGGUUAUCAGAGUACAGGCGUCUAUUGGGCGGCUCGAUAUUCAGCUGAUCCCCACCAUUCUUCGACCCAGCUGCUUCUGGAGCAACAUCGGAAUACACCCGUGCUAACGCCGAACGCGAACGUCGGUCGACAAACAGAUCAAAGCAUCGCCUUCUGUGUCGGGCACACCGGUGGGACACUUUUACGCUCGUUUGAAUCGCGCCGCGUUACCGCUCCGACGACACCCCCGCCGAGAGGAAUUAAUAGCAGAAGAUAUGGCAGGAAAGAAACGCGUUUGCAUCGUGGGAUCUGGAAAUUGGGGGUCGGCGAUAGCGAAAAUCGUUGGCAAAAACGCCAAGGAAUUACCGCAGUUCGACGACAGGGUUACAAUGUACGUUUACGAGGAGAUAAUCGACGGUAAAAAAUUAACGGAGAUCAUCAACGAGACGCACGAGAACGUCAAGUACCUCCCGGGCCACAGAAUUCCGGAUAACGUGGUCGCUGUGCCCGACGUUCUGGAGGCUGCCAAGGACGCGGACAUCCUGAUCUUCGUCGUUCCGCACCAGUUCAUCCACAGGAUAUGCAGCACACUUCUUGGAAAGAUAAAACCCACCGCUGUUGGUCUGUCGCUUAUCAAGGGCUUCGACAAGCGAGAAGGAGGUGGAAUCGAGCUGAUAUCUCACAUCAUCGCUCAGGAGCUGAAGAUAUCCGUUUCGGUGCUCAUGGGGGCGAAUCUCGCCUCUGAAGUAGCCGACGAAAAAUUCUGCGAAACCACCAUUGGAUGCAAGAACAAAGAGGCAGCCCCGUUCCUCCGGGACAUUAUCCAGACGUCUUACUUCAGGGUGGUCGUCGUCGAGGACACGGACGCCGUCGAAUGCUGCGGUGCUCUCAAGAACAUAGUCGCCUGCGGUGCUGGCUUCGUCGACGGUCUGGGUCUCGGCGACAACACGAAGGCAGCGGUUAUCAGACUGGGACUGAUGGAGAUGAUAAAAUUCGUCGACGUCUUUUUCCCGGGUGGACAAUUGUCGACGUUCUUCGAGAGCUGCGGGGUAGCGGACCUAAUAACGACCUGUUACGGAGGUCGCAAUCGCAAGGUUUCCGAAGCGUUCGUGCGAACGGGAAAAAGCAUCGCGGAGCUGGAAACCGAGAUGCUGAACGGUCAGAAGCUUCAGGGACCCUUCACGGCCGAAGAAGUUAACUACAUGCUGAAGGCCAAGGACAUGGAGACGAGGUUUCCGUUGUUCACCGCCAUCCACCGUAUCUGCGUGGGAGAGCUAAAGCCGGACGAUCUGAUCGACUGCAUUCGCAGCCAUCCGGAGCAUAUAACCGACUGCAACAAUUUGGAGGAAAACGUGAGAGCCUGGCCUGUCAAGUCUCACCUGUGAGGAGCAUUGCAAAAUUCGAACGAGUGAGAGAUCAACAGACUGAUGAAUCGACGAUCGUCGCCCUACCGGAGUAUUCAAACUAUAUGCGAGUCAGAGCUACAUGAUGCAGAGAACGAAUUAAUCAAUCGGUCCACUGUGGGUUGAUUUCAAGAAAUGUACGACCAGCUCACGAAGCAGUUUGGCCUCUCGUCGAAAAUACAAUACUACCCUCGAAGCGUCUACAAGGCCUAUCAUCAUAUGUUCGGUGCAGAAGAUGUGUGUCAAUGAAAUAUGCAUUUUGAAGUUUCGAAAGACUAUUAGUUUAUUAAUACAAUGUCAAUUUUAACAAAAGUAUUGUCCGAACUAUUUGAUAUGAAUAAGUUUAUAUACAUAUGAAUGUACUGAUACAUUUUGCUUUUGGUUGACAACUAUCAGAUAAGUGAAGUAAUAUUAUUCAAAAUAGAAAUAUUAUAAGUAUUGUAAGCAUACUAUUGUACGUAGUUAUAAUUUUGUAAGGAUGGAUGCAUCGGUAAGGAUAGACUUUAUAGGCAUAUCGAUGUCCCAACAUGUACUCUUGAUCGUUGAUUUUUAAUAAAUAAACCUGAAAAAUUA